CCUACGGGUGGCAGCAGUGGGGAAUAUUGCGCAAUGGGCGAAAGCCUGACGCAGCGACGCCGCGUGAGGGAUGAAGGUCUUCGGAUCGUAAACCUCUGUCAGCAGGGAAGAACGGUCACUGUGCUAAUCAGCAGUGAAUUGACGGUACCUGCAAAGGAAGCACCGGCUCACUCCGUGCCAGCAGCCGCGGUAAUACGGAGGGUGCGAGCGUUAAUCGGAAUUACUGGGCGUAAAGCGCUCGUAGGCGGUAUGUCAAGUCAAGGGUGAAAUCCCCGCGCUCAACGGGGGAACUGCCUUUGAAACUGGCAAACUGGAGUGUGUGAGAGGUUAGUGGAAUUCCAGGUGUAGGAGUGAAAUGCGUAGAUAUCUGGAGGAACAUCAGUGGCGAAGGCGACUAUCUGGCACAUAACUGACGCUGAGGAGCGAAAGCGUGGGUAGCAAACAGGAUUAGAUACCCCAGUAGUC
rnacentral:rRNA from 1 species